rnacentral:rRNA from 1 species
AGAGUUUGAUUAUGGCUCAGAUUGAACGCUGGCGGCAGGCCUAAUACAUGCAAGUCGAACGGUAACAUAGGAAAAGCUUGCUUUCCUGAUGACGAGUGGCGGACGGGUGAGUAAAGUUUGGGAAGCUACCUGAUAGAGGGGGACAACAGUUGGAAACGACUGCUAAUACCGCAUACAGCCUGAGGGUGAAAGCAGCGAUGCGCUAUCAGAUGCGCCCAAAUGGGAUUAACUAGUAGGUGAGGUAAAGGCUCACCUAGGCGACGAUCUCUAGCUGGUCUGAGAGGAUGAUCAGCCACAUUGGGACUGAGACACGGCCCAGACUCCUACGGGAGGCAGCAGUAGGGAAUAUUGCACAAUGGAGGAAACUCUGAUUGCAGCCAUGCCGCGUGUGUGAAGAAGGCCUUCGGGUUGUAAAGCACUUUCGGAGGGGAGGAGAAUGACGUUACCCUCAGAAGAAGCACCGGCUAACUCCGUGCCAGCAGCGGC